CCGGUUUCGACCGGCGCGCACCUGGGGCUGAGCCGGGUGCGCGCGGGGGUCGGGUCUGGAACUGCCCUUGAAUCGACGGGAUUUCUCUGGCUGUCGUUUGCGCUGCAUUUAUCCGAAUACAUCCAGCUCGCAGGCAUCCUGCAAGAAACGGCUCCCGGCUCGCGUGUACGCCGACACCUCGGCCCAACGCAGGACUCGAGGUGGUUUCUAGUGCCCGGGUGGCUGCAAGUCUGCCCUCCGAGGGAGGCUGGACAAGCGGCGCCCCCAGGUCGAGCGGCCUCUCGCUGCCUGGCAGUGCCUGGCAGCCCCCACCUCUGCCAGUGCUUCGGAAACCCGCCUGGCCAGGUUCGCCCGCGGUGAAAAAUGAAAGCAAAUUCCCCAACAGAGGUAGCCGGAACUUUCCUCGACGAAGGCUCCCUCCUGCGCCUGUGUCUGGAGAACCCCCAGAGCGCUGCAAGUUAGCAAGAGAGAUUCGAUGGCGGCUCUGGAAGGCGCACGAAGGGUGGGGCGGGGGAGCAAAGAGGCCACUGGGUGACCCAGCCUGGUCCGGGGUGAAACGCUAGAGAAGGCGCCUCGCCUUCCUUAUUUCAAUGCAACUCCUCGGCCCCAGACGGUAAAAAUAGUUUCCAAGCUGCCGCGGACGCCCAGGAUGUGUUUGCAGAGAUCAAACUGGGGAGGAGGCAGCUUUGUAAAAGUUGCAGAAAGAUUAGCCGAGAAGCGUCCGCCCGGCGGGGCUCAAGAAAGCUUGGGGACAGCUCCAUGUUCCUUGGGGCGGAAUGGCCCAAGAAUUGGCCUGGGUAACCCCCUGCCCAGUUCUCUGUCCUCACUUCGAGCCAGUGCUUAAAUAACUUCCCGCCGCCUGCCCUGCAAACUUCCCGGCGCGGCGCCGUUGAGGCCAGGACACAGCAAAGGCUAGCAAAACCCCGCCGCGGCGCGCUCGGCCCCGGCCCUGAGAGGCUGCGCGGGUGGGAGGACCAGUGUGGUUUCUGCUCCCACUCGGCUGCCCAGACCCUCAAGACCGAUCCCCCAACUCCUGGGAGCGGGUGCUUCCCUCUGGGAGCCGAGAUCUUGCGGGGCCAGCGAGGGCGCAAAGUGCGCGCGCUGGCCCGCGCGGGGGCGGCCGCGCGUCUCUCCGCGGGGCCUGUCGCCAGGCCGGCCGCGGCGCGUGAGUGAUGAGGGCAGAGAAGGGCGCCCAUAAAUCGCGGGUGUCAGGGCGAAAAACUCUCUUUAUUGUCUGCGUGAUGGAUGGGCCCGGGGACGAGACACCAAAUACUUCGUAUCGCCUUUAAAUGGGAACACAUUUUCCGCGGCCAUAAUUCAUGUUUUUUAAAUAGAAAGUUUGAAAUGUUGCCUAUAUUUCACCAGCCCUGACAUAUUUAUGAAUCGCUCCCUGCAUGCAAAUAUCAUUACUUAAAGCGCCGGGGAGAGCGCGGGGGAGGGGAGGAGGCGCGGUUCCCGGGGCGUGGGGGUGGUGAACCGGGGAAAUAUCGGUGGAGGGGGGCCAUCUCCCUAAAGGGCAGAGGGUGAGGUGCGGUGAAUAGCCGUAUCCGGAAACCGAGCGUGCCCCGGGCUUCUUUCCCGCCGCCAGACCCCGCACAGCCGCCCUGGGACGUUUUUCGAGGCUUGGGACCUAAGACGGGUCCCCGGACCCUGCUGGGAAACCAGGGGGCGUUUUUCGUCCCUCUCUGAGGCCAUUAUCCAAGCUGAAACCACCUUUUAUAAGAAAAAAGUUUAAAGAAAAAAAAUUUAACAAACACAAAUAAUAAUAAUAACCCAACAUGUUUCGCGUUCUUUGCCA
rnacentral:lncRNA from 1 species